rnacentral:lncRNA from 1 species
CUAAUUGUACGUAAUUAGUCAAAGGCUAUUGCUAUAAUGGUGUCAUGGUGAGCUUUAAGCCCCAUCACCAUGCCGCGUUUUAACUCUUAACUGUUGAUUCAAGUAAAAUGUAUCAAAUGGUUGAGAUUGAAUAUAAAAGAAAAAAUAGAAAAAUAUGGGUAAAUUGAAAAGCCGGUUGCUUUAUCUUCCUCAAAUUCCUAAUUUUUUCUCUUCUGCUAAAUCAUCUCUCUCUGCAAUCCCUAAUUUCUCUCUUAGAUUUGCUCACUAAUCACAUAAAACCAAAGCCACCAUCUCGCUCACAGCAAACAUCUAGUUGAAUCCAUCAACCAGUUACUAUCCAUCAACACAUCUUCCUCUCAUUCUCUUUCAUUUUCGAGUUAACGACAAGGUAAAAAAUGUUAUCUUAACUUUUAUGCUUUUAAUGGUGACUACUGAAACCUCUGUUUGUACUCCCUCAUUCGACAUGUAUCAUUUAUGCAUUAUAUUAAAAUUUUUAUGCUGUGUAAAAAAAUUAGGGACUUAUGAAUUUUGAGUGAAAAAAGAUGCUUAGAUAAUGAAAACUUGAUGGUCAAUAGAUGAUUAAUAGUUUGGAAGCAUGAAAUUAACAAGAAAAGCAUAAGAAAAUGUCGGAUUGUAGUGAGAGAGAGGUAUGGGUUUUGAGAUUUAGAGAGAGAAGAUGAAGAAUGAGUCAAACCGGCUAGCUACCUACUUGAAGCGACCAACUGCCACGUUAUGGUAUGUUUCUACCUUCUAAGCAGUUAGAUGCUUGGACCAAGCAGGUAGCCACUUGUUUUUGGCAGAAUGUCUACCUCUCAAGCGGCUGGCUGCUUCGACCAAGUAGCUAGUUGCUUGUUUAGCUACUCCAAGUAAGGCGUCUAUCUGUUUCCCUUGAAUUCCGAACAAUAUUACAAUAAUACUUGUUUUAUUUCAAGAAUCUGACAUAAAUGAUUAUUGUAAGCUUAUGUGCUAUGAAAUUGAGUUUCGUUUAACAGCUUGAGGUGUAGUUUGCAUAUGGUAGCAAUUUAGAUUUGUUGUUGCAUACUUGUUCAUUAGAAUCGUAGUCGAAUAGCAAACAGAUCUGCAAGUAUUCACAAAAAAUGUGUAUAUGUUGUUUUGGUACAUGUAAAUUUUCGUACUUAAUCUAGUACUUCACCUAAAGAAUCAGUCUCCCCAAUUUUAAAUUUUUAAUUGUUGGUAGUGUUUUGUUUUAGAUUUUCAUGGAUUGUUUGUUUUAUUUUUUGAAUUGAUUAAGCAUCAGAUUACUGUAUUACACAGAGAUAUAUACAACUGUUAUGACAGCAUGUCGUUACACUGAUAUUUACAAUCAGAUAUAUACAUGAGACUUAUAUUAUUAUAUUUUUAUUCUAUGAAGUACAUGCACAUCCAAAUACCCCUCACGGAGAAGGGAUGUCUCUACUCCACUCGCAUUUCGCAAGGGAGAAAGACUUUAUAAGAAGUCUCUACACAAUUAUGUUUAAUUGAGGGAGGUUGAGUCCGUGGGGACUCAAACCACUGCCCUCAUAGUCAUGCUUAACUUUGAGGGCAAUGGUUUACCACUGGGCUACAAGCCCAAGUGACAGAUUUUCAUGGAUUGUUAAAAUCAUUUCAAUAGGUAGUUAGUUUAUUAUCUUGGACUAAAUUUUAUUUGAUUAAUAUUGGACUGAAUUUUGUGGAUAAUUUUUUACUGUCUCUACUGUUAUUUGCUGUUUUUUUUUUUUACUUUUCUAUGCUGUUAUUGAUUAAAUUGAUAAUUUUAUCAAUGUGUUGCAUAUUAAAGGAUUUUAACAAUAUAAUCCAAUUAUAACAUGGACAUACAGAUGCUACAACUGCAAGACUUGGUCAAAGAUCAU